AUGGGUCUGGGGUGGAUUGCUUUGUUGUUUUGUUUUGUUUUGUUUUGUUUUGUUUUGUUUUGUUUUGUUUUAUCUCUCCUAGACUCCAAGGGGAGAGAACCUAAGACUAUAUCUCCAGCAUCAGGCAAGAAUGACUCAGGGUGGGUCAUCCUCAGGGGACUCAUUUAUGGGAGGUCUCACGCAUCCGUGGACGUGGUUUCAGUAACUUUAACUCCGCUUCCAGUGGCAGGUAUGGGGUUCCUGGAGUUCUAUUCAAAGAAACAUUUUCUUUUCAGUCAUUUACCAUGCAAUGAAUCUUUUUGAAUUCUGCAAAGUCGUGGGGAAAAAGUUCAGAUUGGCUGCAAAUGAUUAUCCUCAUUUCCCACCCACCCCCCCGCCCCAUUUCUUUUCUCUUUUAUAAUUGUUCCUUUUGCCUGUGGCACAUUUUGCAUAAAAAAUGUGCGUGGGACAAAAGAUCCAUAUUAAGGCAGCAGCUGGGAUACGGGUGUCACUCAGGAAACUUCCCCCCUUCACUCUGUAAUGUUUGUCUACAUUGUAAAAAUACUUUGAGAGCUCAAUGAAUGUUUGCGUGCUAAAUGAAAACAUAGAAAUAAUGUCUAAUGUCUACAUUUUGGUCAUAAAAUCUAAGAAAUUAGACAGAUGCAUGAAUGCCCUUAUGGGAAGAAGAGAGGCGACUGCUUUAUAAAGACCCUGGACUUUUCCUCCAGAAAGGAAGGAGGGUGAUGCUAGAAGCAGAAGGAAGAAUGUCCUUUUUUUUUUUUUUUCUGAAGGAGCAGCCCCUGCUACUCCUUCUGAUUAACUGGCUUAUGCAGGCAGCUUCUGAGGAAGGUCACAUAAAAAGAGCUGAAUAUCCCCAUCACCCCCAUCAUCAACCUGUCCUCCAGCUAGAGUAUUGCUGAAGAGAACGGCAGACUCUGACCUUGGUUCUGCUCGCUGCACCCCACCCCACCCCACCUCACCUCUGGGUUGCUGGCUCCUCGGCCUCUCCAAUGCCCCAGUCCCACUAUCUUUUGUCUACUCCCUUUGACCUGGGUUUCCUUACUCCUCCUAGGUCCAGGUCCAUCUUGUUCUGAAACUCAGUAGCCGCAGCAAACACAGCAGAGUAGUCAUUGUAAGCAUCCAGCUGCACAAAGACACCCUCCAGCGAGAAGGCUAGGGGGAGGAUUUGUUCCAAAAACACUAUGGAGCCUGCAGGAAGGUGGAGUGACCCUAUCUCUUCCCAUCCUGGGGGUCUACUUGGAGGAAAGCUUCCUCCCAGAGUUAGGGAUGCAAAGAUGUUUCCCUGGGGUGAGUUUUUAUGGGAAAAAAAUGGAAGUCUGUGUCUAAUUUAGGAUCUAGUAAAGAAUUUGAGCUUGCCCAGAGAGGGGUCUGGUCUUUGCCCUUGGUUUCUGGGAGGUAAUCACUAAGCCCUUGGGAUAUCCUGCCUAAUGAGAGUGUCUUUGUUCGUCUUGGGGCUUUGCACCAGCCAGAUAAUAACGGUGUGAUUUAGGGUGGGGACUGUGAGCCACACCAACAUGCUUCAGGAUGGGGGCUUUGAGUUCCAUGAUCAGUUCUGCCUCUUGAGGUGAUGGAAACUGCAAUCAACCACUCAGCUAUGUCCAUGUGAUUAAACCCCAGGAAAGACUCUGGACCCCAGGGCUCUGAUGAGAUUUCUUGGUUGCCAUGAUCUCUGCAUACUGCCGCAACUAGUGCUGGGAGGAUAAUGCUGUACUGAUUGCACGGAUAUAGGACAGCUGGAAGCUCUGUGUCUGGUACACCUCUCCUGGAACCAUGCCCUAUGCUCCUCUUCCCGUGGCUAAAUUUACUCUGUAUUCUUUCCCUAUAAUAAACCACAACUAUGAAUGUAAUAGUUUUCA
rnacentral:lncRNA from 12 species